ACCCAUCCAACCUCCUAUCCAAGCAGUCCAUGGGAUCCAAUUGGUUGACCAAUUACCACUAACCAUAACCAUAAAAGAAAAAUAAAAUAAAAUAAUAAAAGAAAUGAAAACAUUUAAUUUACAAUUAAUUAACAUUAAUCAAAUACAUCAUUUAAGCACACAAUCUAAUUAAACAAAUAAUACAAAUAACACCUAGACAAAAUACAAAUAACACAUAGAUAAGUAGCCAAUUAAUCAAGUAACACUUAAUUCAAUUAAACACAUAAACAAUUAGUCAAAUAAUCAAUUAAACAAAUAAAAAAAAUAUAAUAAAAAUAAAUAAAUAAAUACCGAGACUAUCCUUUUAAAAUUAGGGAAAAAUAAAAUAAAAUAAUAAAAGAAAUGAAAACAUUUAAUUUACAAUUAAUUAACAUUAAUCAAAUACAUCAUUUAAGCACACAAUCUAAUUAAACAAAUAAUACAAAUAACACCUAGACAAAAUACAAAUAACACAUAGAUAAGUAGCCAAUUAAUCAAGUAACACUUAAUUCAAUUAAACACAUAAACAAUUAGUCAAAUAAUCAAUUAAACAAAUAAAAAAAAUAUAAUAAAAAUAAAUAAAUAAAUACCGAGACUAUCCUUUUAAAAUUA